GAUGAACGCUGGCGGCGUGCCUAAUACAUGCAAGUCGAGCGAACAGACGAGGAGCUUGCUCCUCUGACGUUAGCGGCGGACGGGUGAGUAACACGUGGAUAACCUACCUAUAAGACUGGGAUAACUUCGGGAAACCGGAGCUAAUACCGGAUAAUAUAUUGAACCGCAUGGUUCAAUAGUGAAAGACGGUUUUGCUGUCACUUAUAGAUGGAUCCGCGCCGCAUUACCUAGUUGGUAAGGUAACGGCUUACCAAGGCAACGAUGCGUAGCCGACCUGAGAGGGUGAUCGGCCACACUGGAACUGAGACACGGUCCAGACUCCUACGGGAGGCAGCAGUAGGGAAUCUUCCGCAAUGGGCGAAAGCUUGACGGAGCAACGCCGCGUGAGUGAUGAAGGUCUUCGGAUCGUAAAACUCUGUUAUUAGGGAAGAACAAAUGUGUAAGUAACUAUGCACGUCUUGACGGUACCUAAUCAGAAAGCCACGGCUAACUACGUG
rnacentral:rRNA from 1 species